rnacentral:rRNA from 1 species
CAGUAACCACGGUAAUACGUAGGGCGCAAGCGUUGUCCGGAAUUAUUGGGCGUAAAGAGCUCGUAGGCGGUCUGUCGCGUCUGGUGUGAAAUCCCGAGGCUCAACCUCGGGCUUGCAUCGGGUACGGGCAGACUAGAGUGCGGUAGGGGAGACUGGAAUUCCUGGUGUAGCGGUGGAAUGCGCAGAUAUCAGGAGGAACACCGAUGGCGAAGGCAGGUCUCUGGGCCGCAACUGACGCUGAGGAGCGAAAGCAUGGGGAGCGAACAGGAUUAGAUACCCCUGUAGUCCCUGUCUCUUAUAC